UGGCGAUGGCCGGCGGGGCGGUGCCGUCGUUGGAGCCGACGGUGUUGUCACGGCCGGCGUUGAAGACGUCGUCCUCGGC
rnacentral:tRNA from 1 species